CCGCGAGGUAGAGCAAAUCUCAAAAAAACAAUCUCAGUUCAGACUGCAGGCUGCAACUCGCCUGCACGAAGUCGGAGUUGCUAGUAAUCGUAGGUCAGCAUACUACGGUGAAUACGUUCCCGGGCCUUGUACACACCGCCCGUCAAACCAUGAGAGUUGGCAACACCCGAAGUCGGUAGUCUAACCGCAAGGAGGACGCCGCCGAAGGUGGGGUUGAUGAUUAGGGUUAAGUCGUAACAAGGUAAC
rnacentral:rRNA from 1 species